GACAGAGGUGCCGAGCGUUAGGCGGAAUCACUGGGCUUAAAGCGUGUGUAGGCGGGCGGGCAAGUACCUUGUGAAAUCCCACGGCUCAACCGUGGAACGGCUGGGUAUACUGCCUGUCUUGAGCCAACUAGGGGCGAGCGGAACAGACGGUGGAGCGGUGAAAUGCGUAGAUAUCGUCUGGAACGCCGAAGGUGAAAACAGCUCGCUGGGGUUGUGACUGACGCUGAGACACGAAAGCCAGGGAGCGAACGGG
rnacentral:rRNA from 1 species